AAUUGAUACCAUUGAGAUAAUUACUGAUAGGCAGUCUGGAAAGAAAAGAGGCUUUGGCUUUGUUACUUUUGAUGACCAUGAUCCUGUGGAUAAAAUCGUAUUGCAGAAAUACCAUACCAUCAAUGGUCAUAACGCAGAAGUAAGAAAGGCUUUGUCUAGACAAGAAAUGCAGGAAGUUCAGAGUUCUAGGAGUGGAAGAGGAGGUAAUUUUAAUUCUGUUUCUUCUUUAUUUUUGUUCAUAUAUAAGGGCUUGUUUCUAACUGGGGCAUUUAUUGUAGGCAACUUCGGCUUUGGGGAUUCGCGUGGUGGCGGUGGAAAUUUCGGACCAGGACCAGGAAGUAACUUUAGAGGAGGAUCUGAUGGAUAUGGCAGUGGACGUGGAUUUGGGGAUGGCUAUAAUGGGUAUGGAGGAGGACCUGGAGGUCAGUUUCCGCUACGUUUUGGUUUGUUUAUGUGAUUAAUACUUAACCAUAUCGUAUAUUUAGUUCAUUUAUAUCUUGAGUUUUUAAACAUUUUAUAUUACUCUUUAUAAAUGGCUUGGGCGAUAGUGGUGCAG
rnacentral:sRNA from 1 species